AGUCGAGCGCAGGAAUCAUCCGAACCCUUCGGGGGGACGUUGAUGGAAUGAGCGGCGGACGGGUGAGUAACACGUAAAGAACCUGCCCUCAGGUCUGGGAUAACCACGAGAAAUCGGGGCUAAUACCGGAUGGGUCAUCGGACCGCAUGGUCCGAGGAUGAAAGGCGCUUCGGCGUCGCCUGGGGAUGGCUUUGCGGUGCAUUAGCUAGUUGGUGGGGUAAUGGCCCACCAAGGCGACGAUGCAUAGCCGACCUGAGAGGGUGAUCGGCCACACUGGGACUGAGACACGGCCCAGACUCCUACGGGAGGCAGCAGUAGGGAAUCUUCCACAAUGGACGAAAGUCUGAUGGAGCAACGCCGCGUGAACGAUGAAGGCCUUCGGGUCGUAAAGUUCUGUUGUAAGGGAAGAACAAGUGCCGCAGGCAAUGGCGGCACCUUGACGGUACCUUGCGAGAAAGCCACGGCUAACUACGUGCCAGCAGCCGCGGUAAUACGUAGGUGGCAAGCGUUGUCCGGAAUUAUUGGGCGUAAAGCGCGCGCAGGCGGCCUCUUAAGUCUGAUGUGAAAGCCCCCGGCUCAACCGGGGAGGGCCAUUGGAAACUGGGAGGCUUGAGUAUAGGAGAGAAGAGUGGAAUUCCACGUGUAGCGGUGAAAUGCGUAGAGAUGUGGAGGAACACCAGUGGCGAAGGCGACUCUUUGGCCUAUAACUGACGCUGAGGCGCGAAAGCGUGG
rnacentral:rRNA from 1 species